GGUUAAGCGACUAAGCGUACACGGUGGAUGCCCUGGCAGUCAGAGGCGAUGAAGGACGUGCUAAUCUGCGAAAAGCGACGGCGAGGUGAUAUGAACCUUUGACCCGUCGAUGUCCGAAUGGGGAAACCCAGUGUGUUUCGACACACUAUCGUUAACUGAAUACAUAGGUUAACGAGGCGAACCGGGGGAACUGAAACAUCUAAGUACCCCGAGGAAAAGAAAUCAACCGAGAUUCCCCCAGUAGCGGCGAGCGAACGGGGAGCAGCCCGGAGUCUGAAUCAGCUUGUGUGUUAGUGGAACGGUCUGGAAAGUCCGACGGUACAGGGUGAUAGUCCCGUACACGAAAAUGCACAUGCUGUGAACUCGAAGAGUAGGGCGGGACACGUGGUAUCCUGUCUGAAUAUGGGGGGACCAUCCUCCAAGGCUAAAUACUCCUGACUGACCGAUAGUGAACCAGUACCGUGAGGGAAAGGCGAAAAGAACCCCGGCGAGGGGAGUGAAAAAGAACCUGAAACCGUGUACGUACAAGCAGUGGGAGCCUCUUUAUGGGGUGACUGCGUACCUUUUGUAUAAUGGGUCAGCGACUUAUAUUCUGUAGCAAGGUUAACCGUAUAGGGGAGCCGAAGGGAAACCGAGUCUUAACUGGGCGUUAAGUUGCAGGGUAUAGACCCGAAACCCGGUGAUCUAGCCAUGGGCAGGUUGAAGGUUGGGUAACACUAACUGGAGGACCGAACCGACUAAUGUUGAAAAAUUAGCGGAUGACCUGUGGCUGGGGGUGAAAGGCCAAUCAAACCGGGAGAUAGCUGGUUCUCCCCGAAAGCUAUUUAGGUAGCGCCUCGUGAACUCAUCUUCGGGGGUAGAGCACUGUUUCGGCUAGGGGGCCAUCCCGGCUUACCAACCCGAUGCAAACUACGAAUACCGAAGAAUGUUAUCACGGGAGACACACGGCGGGUGCUAACGUCCGUCGUGAAGAGGGAAACAACCCAGACCGCCAGCUAAGGUCCCAAAGUCAUGGUUAAGUGGGAAACGAUGUGGGAAGGCACAGACAGCCAGGAUGUUGGCUUAGAAGCAGCCAUCAUUUAAAGAAAGCGUAAUAGCUCACUGGUCGAGUCGGCCUGCGCGGAAGAUGUAACGGGGCUAAACCAUGCACCGAAGCUGCGGCAGCGACACUAUGUGUUGUUGGGUAGGGGAGCGUUCUGUAAGCCGUUGAAGGUGUGCUGUGAGGCAUGCUGGAGGUAUCAGAAGUGCGAAUGCUGACAUAAGUAACGAUAAAGCGGGUGAAAAGCCCGCUCGCCGGAAGACCAAGGGUUCCUGUCCAACGUUAAUCGGGGCAGGGUGAGUCGACCCCUAAGGCGAGGCCGAAAGGCGUAGUCGAUGGGAAACAGGUUAAUAUUCCUGUACUUGGUGUUACUGCGAAGGGGGGACGGAGAAGGCUAUGUCAGCCGGGCGACGGUUGUCCCGGUUUAAGCAUGUAGGCGGAGGUUCCAGGUAAAUCCGGUACCUUUUAACGCUGAGGUGUGAUGACGAGGCACUACGGUGCUGAAGUGAUAAAUGCCCUGCUUCCAGGAAAAGCCUCUAAGCAUCAGGUAACACGAAAUCGUACCCCAAACCGACACAGGUGGUCAGGUAGAGAAUACCAAGGCGCUUGAGAGAACUCGGGUGAAGGAACUAGGCAAAAUGGUGCCGUAACUUCGGGAGAAGGCACGCUGAUAUGUAGGUGAAGCCCCUGCGGGCGGAGCUGAAAUCAGUCGAAGAUACCAGCUGGCUGCAACUGUUUAUUAAAAACACAGCACUGUGCAAACACGAAAGUGGACGUAUACGGUGUGACGCCUGCCCGGUGCCGGAAGGUUAAUUGAUGGGGUUAGCGGCAACGCGAAGCUCUUGAUCGAAGCCCCGGUAAACGGCGGCCGUAACUAUAACGGUCCUAAGGUAGCGAAAUUCCUUGUCGGGUAAGUUCCGACCUGCACGAAUGGCGUAAUGAUGGCCAGGCUGUCUCCACCCGAGACUCAGUGAAAUUGAACUCGCUGUGAAGAUGCAGUGUACCCGCGGCAAGACGGAAAGACCCCGUGAACCUUUACUAUAGCUUGACACUGAACACUGGUCCUUGAUGUGUAGGAUAGGUGGGAGGCUUUGAAGCGUGGACGCCAGUCUGCGUGGAGCCGUCCUUGAAAUACCACCCUUUAAUGGCUGGUGUUCUAACGUAGACCCGUGAUCCGGGUUGCGGACAGUGUCUGGUGGGUAGUUUGACUGGGGCGGUCUCCUCCCAAAGAGUAACGGAGGAGCACGAAGGUUGGCUAAUCCUGGUCGGACAUCAGGAGGUUAGUGCAAUGGCAUAAGCCAGCUUGACUGCGAGCGUGACGGCGCGAGCAGGUGCGAAAGCAGGUCAUAGUGAUCCGGUGGUUCUGAAUGGAAGGGCCAUCGCUCAACGGAUAAAAGGUACUCCGGGGAUAACAGGCUGAUACCGCCCAAGAGUUCAUAUCGACGGCGGUGUUUGGCACCUCGAUGUCGGCUCAUCACAUCCUGGGGCUGAAGUAGGUCCCAAGGGUAUGGCUGUUCGCCAUUUAAAGUGGUACGCGAGCUGGGUUUAGAACGUCGUGAGACAGUUCGGUCCCUAUCUGCCGUGGGCGCUGGAGAAUUGAGGGGGGCUGCUCCUAGUACGAGAGGACCGGAGUGGACGCAUCACUGGUGUUCGGGUUGUCAUGCCAAUGGCACUGCCCGGUAGCUAAAUGCGGAAGAGAUAAGUGCUGAAAGCAUCUAAGCACGAAACUUGCCCCGAGAUGAGUUCUCCCUGAGACCUUGAGUCUCCUGAAGGAACGUUGAAGACGACGACGUUGAUAGGUCGGGUGUGUAAGCGCAGCGAUGCGUUGAGCUAACCGAUACUAAUGAACCGUGAGGCUUAACCUU
rnacentral:rRNA from 1 species